UUUGAACGCUGGCGGCAGGCUUAACACAUGCAAGUCGAGCGGAGUGAUGGUGCUUGCACUAUCACUUAGCGGCGGACGGGUGAGUAAUGCUUAGGAAUCUGCCUAUUAGUGGGGGACAACAUCUCGAAGGGGAUGCUAAUACCGCAUACGUCCUACGGGAGAAAGCAGGGGAUCACUUGUGACCUUGCGCUAAUAGAUGAGCCUAAGCCGGAUUAGCGAGUUGGUGGGGUAAAGGCCUACCAAGGCGACGAUCUGUAGCGGGUCUGAGAGGAUGAUCCGCCACACUGGGACUGAGACACGGCCCAGACUCCUACGGGAGGCAGCAGUGGGGAAUAUUGGACAAUGGGGGGAACCCUGAUCCAGCCAUGCCGCGUGUGUGAAGAAGGCCUUAUGGUUGUAAAGCACUUUAAGCGAGGAGGAGGCUCUUUUGGUUAAUACCCAAGAUGAGUGGACGUUACUCGCAGAAUAAGCACCGGCUAACUCUGUGCCAGCCGCCGCGGUAA
rnacentral:rRNA from 1 species